rnacentral:snRNA from 1 species
UCAUAUCUAUUCUUUUUUGAA